rnacentral:misc_RNA from 1 species
ACAGCGUCGCUCUACACCAACCUAGUUGGUAGGGAGCGGAUAUUGGCCCCCCGAGUCCUUUGGGCACGGUCGGCACAAAUAUUGGUCCCCGGCAGCGAGUGUCGCGGUCAGCGGUGGUUGUAUUUUCCUCCAAAGACAAAAUGACGCGUUCCUCGUUGCAUGUGGAUCGAAACGACCCUUGAACGCCAUUUACGGCAUUCACC